rnacentral:tRNA from 1 species
GGUAACUGGUGUACCCCCUGGUCUUCAAAACCAGUGUUGGGCGUUAGGAGCGUCCUGGGUGGGUUCGAUUCCCACAUACCUC